rnacentral:rRNA from 1 species
GACGAACGCUGGCGGCGUGCUUAACACAUGCAAGUCGAACGGAAAGGCCCUGCUUUUGUGGGGUGCUCGAGUGGCGAACGGGUGAGUAACACGUGAGUAACCUGCCCUUGACUUUGGGAUAACUUCAGGAAACUGGGGCUAAUACCGGAUAGGAGCUCCUGCUGCAUGGUGGGGGUUGGAAAGUUUCGGCGGUUGGGGAUGGACUCGCGGCUUAUCAGCUUGUUGGUGGGGUAGUGGCUUACCAAGGCUUUGACGGGUAGCCGGCCUGAGAGGGUGACCGGCGACAUGGGGACUGAGGUACGGCCCAGACUCCUACGGGAGGCAGCAGUGGGGAAUAUUGCACAGUGGGCGGGAGCCUGAUGCAGCAACGCCGCGUGCGGGAUGACGGCCUUCGGGUUGGGAACCGCUUUCGCCUGUGACGAAGCGUGAGUGACGGUAAUGGGUAAAGAAGCACCGGCUAACUACGUG